rnacentral:rRNA from 1 species
CCUACGGGAGGCAGCAGUGAGGAAUAUUGGUCAAUGGACGAGAGUCUGAACCAGCCAAGUAGCGUGAAGGAUGACUGCCCUAUGGGUUGUAAACUUCUUUUAUAUGGGAAUAAAAUGUUCCACGUGUGGGAUUUUGUAUGUACCAUAUGAAUAAGGAUCGGCUAACUCCGUGCCAGAAGCAGCGGUAAUACGGAGGAUCCGAGCGUUAUCCGGAUUUAUUGGGUUUAAAGGGAGCGUAGGUGGAUUGUUAAGUCAGUUGUGAAAGUUUGCGGCUCAACCGUAAAAUUGCAGUUGAAACUGGCAGUCUUGAGUACAGUAGAGGUGGGCGGAAUUCGUGGUGUAGCGGUGAAAGUCUUAGAUAUCACGAAGAACUCCGAUUGCGAAGGCAGCUCACUGGACUGCAACUGACACUGAGGCUCGAAAGUGUGGGUAUCAAACAGGAUUAGAUACCCGGGUAGUC